GACGAACGCUGGCGGCGUGCCUAAUACAUGCAAGUCGAGCGCAGGAAAUCAUCCGAACCCUUCGGGGGGACGUUGAUGGAAUGAGCGGCGGACGGGUGAGUAACACGUAAAGAACCUGCCCUCAGGUCUGGGAUAACCACGAGAAAUCGGGGCUAAUACCGGAUGGGUCAUCGGACCGCAUGGUCCGAGGAUGAAAGGCGCUUCGGCGUCGCCUGGGGAUGGCUUUGCGGUGCAUUAGCUAGUUGGUGGGGUAAUGGCCCACCAAGGCGACGAUGCAUAGCCGACCUGAGAGGGUGAUCGGCCACACUGGGACUGAGACACGGCCCAGACUCCUGCGGGAGGCAGCAGUAGGGAAUCUUCCACAAUGGACGAAAGUCUGAUGGAGCAACGCCGCGUGAGCGAUGAAGGCCUUCGGGUCGUAAAGUUCUGUUGUAAGGGAAGAACGAGUGCCGCAGGCAAUGGCGGCACCUUGACGGUACCUUGCGAGAAAGCCACGGCUAACUACGUGCCAGCCGCCGCCGUAA
rnacentral:rRNA from 1 species